UGCAAACAGCUAACCCCUGUGCUCUCAGCUCUGUCUUCAGUGGGAUCUUUUAUUUUCUAGCCCAGAAGAUGCUGUGCAGAUGGACACAACUAGCAUGUGUGGAGUUUGCUGUGAAGUUUGAUUUUUCUGACUCCUUCUAGAGACUUGGCUUCUGUCUCUCUACUCCCUGGCUUCCUUGAGGUGAGAAGCUUUACUCCACUUUGACCUUCCGCCGUGAUUUUUCUGUCUUGGGGCCAGUCAAUCACAGUCUGAAAUCUCUGAAAUUGUGUAUGGGCAAUUGGGAAGUGGAGGAUACUGUGGAUCUGGCUCAUUGCAGAAUCUGCCCUCAGAGGGUACACUUGUUCCGGAGCCCUCCCUUCCUCUUUUUGUCUGCAUCUCAUCUGCCAAGGGCCAUCUAAGAAGAUCCAGUGUGUCGUGGACCCUUCAAGAUCUACGUCCAUUUUCCUGGAAGGUCAGGAAAGCUCCACGGUGAAAUCAAAAUGCUGCAGCAGUUUGUUAGUGGCUGUCAUCCUGACAGAGUGGAGGAGCCGUAGCCCUGUGCAAGUCAUGCUUUUCCAAGGUUACACCAUCUGGGUGCAAAACUAGGGACCCCUCUGGGCCAUGUGGCUUCCUUCUUCAGGCACCUCAUGUGUCACACCUCUAUGUAGCAUCUCCAUUGUUCUGGAGCAAGUAAUCAUCAAUAAGGCUGGAAUGUCAGCAGGAUUCGCUUUGUGAUCCAGCCAGGUGACUGGUGGAAUACACUUACAGAACCCUGAUGCAGAGACUCUGUCAUCCUUUGGCCUGAGGAAUACAGAUGGCUGAUGCUAACAUCAACUGGACCACAAAGACUUUCACACAGAUAAACUUCCUUUUUCUCACUUUAUGCAUCAAAUUUCCUACUCAUGGUACAAAUCACCUGACACCUGCAGCUUAAAAGACAAGUAUAUUACUCAGGUAUUCAAGUAUUCCUGUAUUUAGUGACGUAUUCUAGAGUUCACAAAAAAAAAUAGACUCAUUUUAUUUAUUAUGAGGAACUAGGUGAUAGGUCUUGGAGACUGAGAAGUCUCACAAUCUACCAUCUGCAAAUUGGAAAGCAGUGUCAGAAUUCAAUCUAAUUCUGAAAGACUGAAUCAGAAAAACUUGUAGUGGAAAACCCAAGGCAGAAUAAUAUGAGGUAAGUAAUCUUGAACAGUUCUUUUAUUGUCUUAAUGUCAAUAAGUGAUUGGAGUUGAUCCCUAUCUAUUUUGGAAAGCACAACCUAUUUUAUUGAACUUAACCAAUUCAAAUGCUAAUCUUACCCCCCCAAAACCUUCAAAGCCAUAUCUGCAAAUAAUGUUUAAUCUGGGCACCUUAGGCUCAGUCAAGUUGACAUAUAAAGUUGAGUUUCAUAUCUUGUUUUUAUCUACUUUCAACCAUCACCAGCCAUGUCAUUUUGUGUUCCCGUGGUAAUUGUUACUCUGUUCCUUGUGUCCUUCCUUCCAUGUACUUCCCUCCACCCCUUUUUACUUCUGGACAUUUAAAUUGGUAACAAUCAUGUUCCCUUUAUUUUAUGAUCUUGCUGAUCUUUUUAGCCCCAGUUCUGAGAUUGGUGGGCUAUUUGAUAAAAAUUUGCACUACCAAAGUUGCAUAUAGUACAGAUCAUUCACCCACCCAUUCCUGCUGGAGACUUUCCAGUUCACGUGCAAAUCAGUGGAUUCUAGCAGACACAUUCAGGGAGAGAGAACGUGAGCUCAGUGCCCACCCACACUCAUUUCCUGGGCAUUUCAGAACUUUGCUUCUAUCUUAUCAGGGUCUCUGCUAUAUGAAUCAGGUUUUCUUUUCCAUCCUAGUGAUUGAACUCAGGGCCUCACUCAGGCAGGACAUGUUAGCAAUUUUGGACUUACUAUAGAUUUGUUUUGAAGUCCUUUAUUGCAUACAUUGUUUUGUUUUGAAUGUUUCUAUUCUAUUCUGUUCUGUUUGAUUUUUUACUAUAUCUGAAGUUAUCUGAAGCUAUUUUGAAGACAUCAAAAUAGACAUGCCAAGUGUUCUGCCACUGAACCCCAUCCUUAGCCCUUGAAAUUUUAUGGCCAUAAGGGAACUGACUCCUUAACACUGACAUAGCAUUCUGAAUCUGAGGGUGAAUCUCAACAGCGAUGAAUAUUGUUAUAAAGUUCUUAUAAUGUGCCGGAUAGUAUGAUUAGUACUUUCAAAGCUUGAGCACAUGAAGUGACCUCUAUGGAGUAUAUGUGAUUAAAAUCUCCCUCUUUAAUAAUAAGAAAGCAUCCAGGGAGGUUAAUAUAACUGUCUAAAAUUUCCUAAUAUGAAGAAAAUUUAUGAUUUAUCCUCUUGCCAAGGAAUCUUUAUACUCUAUCAACUCUGACAAUAAACAGUUUAGUACAGUGUUUCAAACACACUGCGGUUUUGAUAAAUGAUUAUUGUCUCACAUAAAGGUUAGGUGGACCUGCAAAGCACUUGAGGAAAAACACCUUGUCUUUUCUCCUUUCUAUUCUUACCAUAGUCUCAUUAAUGCCAGGAAGUCAGCUAUAAAUACCUGCCCAGUUUAUGAGAUUUGGGUGCUUCUUAGCUUUGAAAUGAUCACAAACACAUAGUUUUUGUGUAUCUAGAGGUCAUGUCGGGGGGGGGGCAAUCGUAAUACACUUUGAGUAUUUUACUGAAUAGAAAACUGGAGAAAAUCUUUUGCUGGGUUUUUUAGGCUCAGUCUCUACUAAUUUAUUUGGAUUAGAGAUUAGAGGCUAUAAAUGGAUAAAUAGAAUAAAAUUUAAUAAAUAGAAAUAAGAGACCAUUUGCAUACCACAGUUAGAAAGAACAAAGCCACACCAGGAAAUACGCCCAGUCUAGGAAACAGCGCCGUGCAUAGGCUGCUGCCAUACUGGAAUAGACAGACCCGAGCCCCUUCAGGCACACAGGCUGGCAAACAAGAAGUAACCGUUCCCUACAUCCCUACCCCCACCAUAAGCAACCAGCUUAUAGGAGAAACAUAGGCCCUGAUAAUAGCUAUCAAGGUGAAGUGCAAUGGGAUGCCUAUGGGGCUUUAGUGUUUUAUAACACUGCAGUUUUAGGGCCAGUGCCCUGAUCACAGAUUCAGAGGAUAGUGGUAUGUGGUGUGGUAUAUGCAGUGUGGCAUUCUGAGGGUUGUGGCCAUUGUUGAUUCCCUAUGGUUUUGUUUUGGAAGUUCUAUAACAUUUCCAUUGUUCUGUUGAGUUGGGUUUUAUUCUCUUUUGUUUGAUUUGGUUAUGCCAAAUCCAACGGCAGAAGCAGCUGUUUCAAAGAUAGCAAAAUAUAUUAUGUUAGCAAUUUUGGAUUUACUAUAGACUUGUUUUGAAGUCUUUUAUUGCAUUCACUGUUUUGUUUUUAUGGUUUCUAUUCUAUUCUGUUCUGUUUGAUUUUUACUAUGUCUGAAGUUAUUUGUAGCUAUUUUGAAGACA